GACGAACGCUGGCGGCGUGCUUAACACAUGCAAGUCGAACGCUGAAGCUCAGCUUUUGUUGGGUGGAUGAGUGGCGAACGGGUGAGUAACACGUGAGUAACCUGCCCCCUUCUUUGGGAUAACGCCCGGAAACGGGUGCUAAUACUGGAUAUUCACUGGUCUUCGCAUGGGGGUUGGUGGAAAGGGUUUUUCUGGUGGGGGAUGGGCGCGCGGCCUAUCAGCUUGUUGGUGGGGUGAUGGCCUACCAAGGCUUUGACGGGUAGCCGGCCGGAGAGGGUGACCGGUCACAUUGGGGCUGAGAUACGGCCCAGACUCCUACGGGAGGCAGCAGUGGGGAAUAUUGCACAAUGGGCGCAAGCCUGAUGCGGCGACGCCGCGUGAGGGAUGGAGGCCUUCGGGUUGUGAACCUCUUUCGCUCAUGGUCAAGCCGCAACAAUGGUUGUGGUGAGGGUAGUGGGUAAAGAAGCGCCGGCUAACUACGUG
rnacentral:rRNA from 1 species